GAACGGCCCCUAAAAAGAAAAAAUAACAAAACUAACAGUGGAGGACUGUGAAAAACCAUGAAAAUUAUGUCUAUGAUAAUAAUUUAAAAGAAAUAAAUACAUCAGAAGAAAGUUAAUGCCUAAGUUAACAGUCCAAACAAUCAGAGAUCAUAUUACAACACAAAAUUUUCCAUGUGUACUACACAAGUAGGAGUGACAUCAUGAGAACAGAGCUGGAAGUCACCAUUCCAUGUUAUAACAAAAUAAUAAUGGUUUGUUGUAAUUGCUGUUGCCAGUGGAAUACAAUAAGUCAAAUGCCAAUGCCAUGCACAAUUCUGUUUAAAUUGGAGAUAAUAAAGGGUUCAUGCACAAAUUCCUCAGAUAACAUCUGAUGGGUGAGAACGGUCCAUUUUUCAGUCUGACUCAAUGUCUUUAUGUGUAACCUUUUCCAGAAUAUCAGUGUAGAAGGGAAAUGAAGAUGAGCGACAGAAUG